rnacentral:rRNA from 1 species
CGUGGAUCCGUAAUCCGGGUUGCGGACAGUGUCUGGUGGGUAGUUUGACUGGGGCGGUCUCCUCCUAAAGAGUAACGGAGGAGCACGAAGGUUGGCUAAUCCUGGUCGGACAUCAGGAGGUUAGUGCAAUGGCAUAAGCCAGCUUGACUGCGAGCGUGACGGCGCGAGCAGGUGCGAAAGCAGGUCAUAGUGAUCCGGUGGUUCUGAAUGGAAGGGCCAUCGCUCAACGGAUAAAAGGUACUCCGGGGAUAACAGGCUGAUACCGCCCAAGAGUUCAUAUCGACGGCGGUGUUUGGCACCUCGAUGUCGGCUCAUCACAUCCUGGGGCUGAAGUAGGUCCCAAGGGUAUGGCUGUUCGCCAUUUAAAGUGGUACGCGAGCUGGGUUUAGAACGUCGUGAGACAGUUCGGUCCCUAUCUGCCGUGGGCGCUGGAGAACUGAGGGGGGCUGCUCCUAGUACGAGAGGACCGGAGUGGACGCAUCACUGGUGUUCGGGUUGUCAUGCCAAUGGCACUGCCCGGUAGCUAAAUGCGGAAGAGAUAAGUGCUGAAAGCAUCUAAGCACGAAACUUGCCCCGAGAUGAGUUCUCCCUGAGACUUAGAGUCUCCUGAAGGAACGUUGAAGACGACGACGUUGAUAGGCCGGGUGUGUAAGCGCAGCGAUGCGUUGAGCUAACCGGUACUAAUGAACCGUGAGGCUUAACCUU